GACGAACGCUGGCGGCGUGCUUGACACAUGCAAGUCGAACGGAAAGGCCUGCUUUCCCUUGUGGAUUGCGGGUACUCGAGUGGCGAACGGGUGAGUAACACGUGAGUGAUCUGCCCCCAACUUGGGUAUAAGCCUGGGAAACUGGGUCUAAUUCCCGAUAGGACUGCAGGGUGGUGCCUGUGGUGGAAAACGAUUUUCUAGUGGUUGGGGAUGAGCUCGCGGCCUAUCAGCUUGUUGGUGGGGUAAUGGCCUACCAAGGCGGCGACGGGUAGCCGGCCUGAGAGGGUGGACGGCCACAUUGGGACUGAGAUACGGCCCAGACUCCUACGGGAGGCAGCAGUGGGGAAUAUUGCACAAUGGGCGGAAGCCCGAUGCAGCGACGCCGCGUGGGGGAUGACGGCCUUCGGGUUGUAAACUCCUUUCGACCGCGAGGAAGCCACCUGGUUGGAAGGGUGGUGACGGUAGUGGUAGAAGAAGCACCGGCUAACUACGUG
rnacentral:rRNA from 1 species